UCUUCGGUAGCUAAGUUGGUGAAAGCACUGGACUGGUGAAUCGGAGGUUGCGGGUUCAAAUCCCGCUCGAGGAG